rnacentral:lncRNA from 10 species
AUCUCCACCUCCCCACUCCUCACUGCCCCUCACAAAUUACAGGGGACAUCAGGGCCACUGCUCCUGACAGAGGAGGAGAAGCGGACCCUGAUUGCUGAGGGCUACCCCAUCCCCACAAAACUCCCCCUCACCAAAGCCGAGGAGAAGGCCUUGAAGAGAGUCCGGAGGAAAAUCAAGAACAAGAUCUCAGCCCAGGAGAGCCGUCGUAAGAAGAAGGAGUAUGUGGAGUGUCUAGAAAAGAAGGUGGAGACAUUUACAUCUGAGAACAAUGAACUGUGGAAGAAGGUGGAGACCCUGGAGAAUGCCAACAGCUUCUCCAGCGGGAUCCAGCCACUCCUCUGUUCCCUGAUUGGCCUGGAGAAUCCCACCUGACCCCCCACCCCACCCCUCUGUCUCUGGCUGGGGUUCCUUUCUGGCCCAAAGUAGGUCCAAGCCCUUGUAGUUAUUUCGCCACCUGCUGUACAUUGUGGGAACUGCAACCCCUACGUGCCCGUUUGGGUGGAGAGAGAUUAAACAUUUGCCCACCAA